AGCACAGGAAUUCUUUGUCAGAAAGUCCGGGCUGUACUGCCACCUCCGCAGGUGACCUUGGGCAAGACGUUACUGCUCUCCUGUAGCUCAGUCUCUGAAAUUUCUGCUUUCAUUCAAUCAUCAGUCUCGCUCAUUCUACAGAAAACGAAGCAAUGCAUACCCGUACGCAGGAGAGUGAGGCCCCAAGAGCCUGCCUCUGAGCGGUGACUGAGCGUCUUUCCGACCUCCUUCUAGAUCUUUCUCCUUCACCUGCAGAUCUACCCUGUGCCCACAGGUCUCAGAGGUGGGGCGCUGACCCAGAGCUCAGGGAAGAACCGGCAAGGUCUCCCUUUCUUCAGCUCCUGAUGCUCGCUCCCUGCUUUCCGAGCCCACGGGGAUCUCCAGGGGCCGUGUGGGAAGUCGGAAGAAUCACUCCUGGGAGUCCCUCUGACGGCCACUGCACAUUCCCGCCAGGUCUGUGCAAGGCAAUCAGGUGACAGGAUGGAGACGACAAACCAGAAGUGGUCAUGAAAAAGCCCAAGAGGCUGGUGGAUGUAGUGGAAAGGCACACGACCCACAUGUUCCAGACGGGGCCUCGGGACGUAGCAAUGAGCCUUAAUCGUCACAAAAAGUGCUCAUGCUGUUC